ensembl:lncRNA
GCACACUGUUCCUUACUUGCUAUUGUUGGCACGUCGCCACUCGGCGGAGUAGGGGUCCAAAGCCGCGAGCGGGCAUGUAUAUAAAAGACGGUCGUCUCACAACACCGGUGCACGUUCUUCUCCACAGGGUUUUCUCUCCCAGCCUAGAGGGUGAUGACUGACAACAUGACACAGCACGACACUGCAGACUUCAAGUAUACACACAGCAAAGAAAAGGACUCGCCCACUACACUCCACACACUCACAGUGAAUUAGGGUCAAAACCACAUAGGACCGGGGAUUAGUUCCUGGACGUUGGGGGCACCGAUGCAGCAGACGGCCAGAGGGAACGUCACAGCCACGACAAGGCACCAGACUCCUUUUUCGCUGGUUCCGGCUCACCCACCAAUCCUAUUACGAUAACCGACAUCCGACACAACUGGCAGCACGAUCUCCUUCCUGCAAUCCUAGCAGAUCUUCAAUGUGUGUUAACUUCACAUCACACAAUGCAUCUGAACACAAUGCUCCAAUAAAGAUAUUCGUAUACUCAGCCCUGUAUGUGUAUCUCUCUUUGCCCAAGCUCCGCAGUACACCAUACACUCUCUCUCCAACUCUCUCCUCCGCUCCAUUGCGCCCACAGUAACUACUGGGAAUCACCAGGCCCUUCCUGUGUUUCUGAUGCCCUAUUUAUGUGUCUCCUCUUCACCAAAUUGCCCAAUCAGUGAUCGCCACGCUCAACAAGACACCCGUUCCCAAUAACACGCCGAUUUGUGUUCGCCGGCUUUCCCGGAAGUGGCGGUGUUUGCGAUAUAUGGUCCGGGCGGAACUAAUCUUCCUCAUUUUUGGUUCCGCCCCAUCACAGUCA